GAAGGCGGGAGGCGCGUCGCGCACGCGCGGUGCUCCGGGUGCGGGGCCUGCCGCUCUGCACGUCCGCGCUGCGGAGGGGCGGGGGUGUGCGGGGGUCCGCCCGGGGGCGGUGCGGGCGGCCCUCGGCGUCGCGGGGCGGUGGUGCUGCUCUCCUCGGGCGGCCGCGUCCCUCCCCCUUCGGGCCCUCCUGAGUCUGUCCGCCAGGAUGGCGUGGAGGCUGCGGGGAACGAGCCUGGAGAUCCGCAGAAGAGCACCUGUUGGAGAGCGCGUAAGCACAACUAACUGCAAGUGGAAGAAGGAUCCAAAGCUGACAUAUCUCUGGAGUGUACUGCCCAACUCUAAGCUGGGAGUGAUGAAUCAGUUCUGCUUUAGCACACUCCAGAAUAACUGCUCAGCUGUAGAAGGACUGACACCCCAGCUGUGAAGGAAGUGCAAAGCAUCUCACAGUCACAGGACCAAGACUUGCAGCCGACUCACUGUCCAGCAUGCACUGCCCAGAUCAGCAAUUUUCACUUCUAUGCUCAUUAAAUCAGAAUCUUCCAGUUGAUUGCCAGGGUCACCUCCUAGAUGGAAAGGAGGGAGAGAAAUCAGGUCUUUCUCCAAACCAACAGGUGUGCAUCACUUACCACAGAAGGUACUUGUAGACCUACCUGCCUUUGAAGUUUUUCAACCUAGCAAUCCAAAAGUGCUUUAGACAGGUGAUUCUUUUCAUCACCAAUAAAAUACCACUUCUCAUUUUUGAGGGAAUGCAAAGGAAGGGCUGCUAACCAGUAAGUCUAAGAGAAUGUUAUGGAAAACUGCAGCUUGCAGUGGAGUGGUGUGACCACACACACCUCCUGCUGAAAGGUGCCUGCCUGGCAAGAGUUGUCAAGAACUGUCAAGGUAGCAUUUUCACAUACAGACCCUGGAAAAGGGUAAUUUUUGUUCUACUGCUUUGUAACUGUCAACUUAUGUCUGGUAUCAUGCCUUUUUGUUCCCAACAAAAGACUCUGCCAAUAAUUUAGCAUUUGUCUUUUGCCCCAGGGUUUGAGGGACAAAACAGCAACAUCAUGGGAGAAAUGCUUGUGGGAGAAUAUUAUGGAAGAAAAUAUGAAGAGUCUCAUUGCUGGGAGACUAAAUCCCUUGAGAAACUCCCCUGCCCUAUGGCUUAUCAUGUAUUCACAUCAUUCUCUGAAAAUAAAUCACAUCUCAAAAGGCCUCAAAGAGUACAUACAAGUCUCCCACAAACCUCAGGAAUACGGGAAAUAAAAGAGUAGAUGUCAUACAGUUUUUGGAUCAAACCAGUCAGUAUGUAUCCUAUUCCGUAGCUGAAAGAAGCAGUGAGGGAACCAUCCUGUCCUGAAAGCUGUAAGAAUUAGCUCUGAGGUUGUGCUCAGCUUAUUGACACGUGCCUCUGAUUUUGCAUCGUUCUGCACGCACGCCUUUGUGCAAGGCCACUUUUCUGUUGGUGCCCUGAGUAACUUGGAGCCGCUCGAUGUGGGGUUUGUAGAAGCAGACAGGAGAGGUGUCAGCAGUGUGAGCUGGCUGUGUUGUUUUGUACCAGUGCUGUGGGAGAUGUGAACUCUUAAGCUAUCUGCACCUACUGCGCCGUUUCAUUUCUGACAGUAACCUCCUAAGUCUCUGUUGCAAUAAAACCCCCAGUGCUCACCUGGUGCCUU